rnacentral:rRNA from 1 species
UGGGGAAUAUUGGACAAUGGGGGGAACCCUGAUCCAGCCAUGCCGCGUGUGUGAAGAAGGCCUUAUGGUUGUAAAGCACUUUAAGCGAGGAGGAGGGUACUGGUAUUAAUACUACCAGGUACUGGACGUUACUCGCAGAAUAAGCACCGGCUAACUCUGUGCCAGCAGCCGCGGUAAUACAGAGGGUGCGAGCGUUAAUCGGAUUUACUGGGCGUAAAGCGUGCGUAGGCGGCUAAUUGAGUCGGAUGUGAAAUCCCCGAGCUUAACUUGGGAAUUGCAUUCGAUACUGGUUAGCUAUAGUGUGGGAGAGGAUGGUAGAAUUCCAGGUGUAGCGGUGAAAUGCGUAGAGAUCUGGAGGAAUACCGAUGGCGAAGGCAGCCAUCUGGCCUAACACUGACGCUGAGGUACGAAAGCAUGGGGAGCAAACAGG